AUGAAUCUGGAAAUGAGGGAUCAUGUUAGGAAGAGGGAGGAGGAUGAUGACGAAAUGAUGUUAUUCAUUUUACCUGCACUACAUUUGAUAGGUACCGAUGGAGUUGCUCUUAGGGAGUGUAGGAUUCCGCGUCAUACAUCAUCGCUAACAUGCGAGAUGUUUGUUAAGGAGUUACUCGAAGGGCACGUCAAAAACUGUCAGAUAGCAUUUAGGAUGGAGCCGCAUAUCUUCAAAUCUUUAGCUAAUUGA
rnacentral:rRNA from 1 species